rnacentral:lncRNA from 1 species
CAAAGCAGAACCAUCCUGAUUAGUUGUACGCGAGUAUUUGAUUAUAUUUUGUUGUUUUACAGAAUCUGGAAGCAAGACAGCAAUCUUCCUGUAGUACUGGGCUGAGUGGCGCUGGAGCUGGGAUGGCUUCUUGACAAAAAUUUCCAGCAACACUAGCAAAAAUGAUCUCUUUUCUGGACCAUUUUCCAUGGUCUGUUCACUGGGCUGAUAGGC